GUAGUUUAAGAUAGACUCUUAGCCGACACGCAUGUUUCCUUUGUUAUCGAUACUGGUAUGGUUCAAUGCCAGAAGACCAUGCCAUGCGCUUUUGUGGAUAAGGUAUACAUUAAAUUAUAUUACAUUGAAGUUUUCAAUACAGUGAAAAUAUCCGUACUCAUAAAGAUAAAAACGAUAUAGCCGGUAAAUUUAGAAAUGAGUGAUACACAUUUUUGUAGAUCUGUAUUAAGCGCAAAUCACCAUAAAUUGAUAAGUUUUAUAUUUUAUUAAGCUUAUACAUAUUAAAGUCUGAUAAUAAAAUUUAUAGUUCUGAAUUAUAAACAUCCGGUUUAGAACAGUACAAUUCGGUGCAGAUGAUUUUGGCUAAUCUAUCUCUCGACACCGCAAUGCCCAUGAGAAAAACGUGGGAAUAUGUAGAAUCGAUGAUUCCGAUGCAUAAAAGGAAAUGGGUACAAAUUUGAGAUAGACAUUGACUCGCGUCAUCGAGACGAGAAAAAAGAAUGAUGGGAAGAACUCCGAAAAGACGAAAACAUGAAUUCGUGGGGCCUAGGGUACACGGUCAUUAUGAAAAAUAUAGGUGACACUACUGCUUCAAUUGAAUGCAGGUAAAAUGAAAAAAGUGCUAUUGCCUUAUUUUCUACACAUGGAAUGAAACAAGACCGACUGAACUCCACAACAAAAUACAGCUCUUUACCAUCAAAAAGCUGCAACUCUCGGCAAGGAAAUCAAAUAAGUCAGCUUGAUCAGACGUCAUACCAACAGAGGUACGGAGGCGCGAGAAACUGAAAUUGCGUGGAGGAAGUUAAGGGGGUAUAGAAGCAUGAAUUUCAGAUCAGAAUACUCCCUUAAGCCAGAUUAUGAUCAGAGCACAAAUGUGGCUUGACGCAAGGAGUAUUAAACUUUCCACUGACAAAACUGAGCUGGUAUUCCUAACAAAGAAAGAUAUUCCGACGAUAGUAUGUAGACUUCAAUACAACAACAGAGACCUACGAAAACAAAACAUUACCAAUUACCUGGGUGUAAUAUUAGACCCCAAGAUUAACUUCUGGGAACAAAUCCAAUACGCUGCGAAAAAAUCCAAGGCGCCCAAAUUAGCUUUCCAACUUAGCGGGCUGAUGCCCAACAUUGCAGAAACGGAAGCUUCUAUGGGCAGACUCAUUGAGGCAACACAACCGAUGAAAAGCCCUGUACAAGGUGUAUUUUCCAGCUGCUCUGAGAGUAGUAUAGGUAUACCGCACACUUUCAGGUAAAGCUGUAAAGGGAAUAAGCAAAAGCACUUCCAUCAACCUACUUUCAUUUGAAAAGACGAAAAACAAAUGGCACCACCACAAAUAAGGAAAUAAAGAAUGAUGGCUUGGAGCAAUGGCAAAUUCAUUAGGAGGACGUCAUGACUAAUCCCGCAAAAAACCUGGCGAGGUGGAUUGUUAUUAGCAGAUGCUAUCUACUCACGGAUAUUUUAGGAAGUAUCUAUAUAAAAUGGAAAAAAAACUGAAGAUCCGUCAUGUAUUUACAACGACACAACCGAGGACAACGCUGAACAGGCGUUUUUCAAAUGCAUACGCUAGCAAACAUAGCAAAAUGUUCGGGUCAGUAAACGCAGACGUCAUUGGACUGGCAUGCUUCAAAACUAGGAAAAAUGAAAGAAGUUAAAAAAUUACAUAGAAAACGUUCUACGGUUAAAAAAAAGAGGACCUGGAUGCAAGAAAUGACUUGUACGUCUUAUGACGAAAAAUAUGGAGCGCCACCUUGAAGCAAUAAGAAAGCCAACGUCAUAUGUACAUAUGUAUGUAUACCAUUGCUGUGACGAUGCAAAAGCCAAUUUAGAUCAGCGCUAGACGAUUUUAGGUAUCUCAGAGCGGUUGUGAGAUGCAGCCCAGAAUUCCACGCAAACUUCGCUUAACACUCGAACAUACAUACAUAUAUGAUUUUUAAUGUGGUCAUUUUACAAACCAAAAUUGGUUCUCUGGAGGCGAGAAGACGACGGGGACAGACUUAUAGACCGUGCCGCUCGUGGCACGUUUUGUGUUCUUGUUGGCAGACGUUUUUUUAACAGCAAAGAAUGCGAAGGAGAAAACAUAAUUGUCAAUAGUGCCAAAAAAAAUCCCAAAAAGGGUAAUAAAAAAACGAUUGAAAGACGCAUGUCAUUCGUGAUCGUAACAUCGUAAAGGAGGCUCGUACAACAAGA